UGGCGGCCGCGGCCUCGGCUCGCUUAGCCCCGCCCCGCGCGUUCUCUUCUGGCCAGUAAACCGCAGGACGCGGAGCCUCCAGGGCUUGGAGGGACUGGACUGGAGGGACCCGGACGUGGCGAAUGGAGUCACCCGAAAGAGUCCUCGUUUGGGUCCCAGCGCCGAUGGGAACGAAGGAGAUAGCCUCAGGCCCAUCCAGCGUGGUAGAGGAGACAGAGACGGAGGCUGAGGGAGGAAGGGGGAGCGAGGAGAGACAGACAGACACAGAGAAAGAGAGACAGACUGAGACAGAGAAAGAGAGACAGAGACCGAGACUGAGGGAGGGAGGGGGAGCGAGAAGGAGAGACAGACAGACACAGAGAAAGAGACAGACAGAGACAGAGACAGACAGAGACAGAGAAAGAGAGACAGAGACCAGACUGAGGGAGGAAGGGGGAGCGAGGAGAGACAGACAGAGACAGAGAAAGAGAGACAGACUGAGACAGAGAGACAGACAGAGACAGAGAAAGAGAGACAGAGACCAGACUGAGGGAGGAAGGGGGAGGGAGGAGAGACAGACAGACACAGAGAAAGAGAGACAGACUGAGACAGAGAGACAGACAGAGACAGAGAAAGAGAGACAGAGACCGAGACUGAGGGAGGGAGGGGGAGGGAGGAGAGACAGACAGACACAGAGAAAGAGAGACAGACUGAGACAGAGAGACAGACAGAGACAGAGAAAGAGAGACAGAGACCGAGACUGAGGGAGGGAGGGGGAGCGAGAAGGAGAGACAGACAGACACAGAGAAAGAGACAGACAGAGACAGAGAAAGAGAGACAGAGACCGAGACUGAGGGAGGGAGGGGGAGAGAGGAGAGACAGACAGACACAGAGAGACACAGAAACACAGAGAGACAGAGACCGAAACUGAGGGAGGAAGGGGGAGAGAGGAGAGACAGACAGACACAGAGAAAGAGAGACAGACUGAGACAGAGAGAGACAAAGACCGAGACUGAGGGAGGGAGGGGGAGCGAGAAGGAGAGACAGACAGACAGAGAAAGAGAGACAGACAGAGACAGAGAGACAGACAGAGACAGAGAGACACAGAAACACAGAGAGACAGAGACCGAGACUGAGGGAGGAAGGGGGAGAGAGGAGAGACAGACAGACACAGAGAAAGAGAGACAGAGACUGAGACUGAGGGAGAGAGGGGGAGCGAGAAGGAGAGACAGACAGACAGACACAGAGAAAGAGAGACAGACAGAGACAGAGAAACAGACAGAGACAGAAAGAGAGACAGAGACCGAGACUGAGGGAGGGAGAGGGAGGGAGAAGGAGAGACAGACAGACAGAGAGAGAGAAACAGAAACAGAGACCAAGACUGAGGGAGGAAGAGGGAGAGAGUAGAGACAGACAGACACAGAGAAAGAGAGAGAGACAGAAACAGAGAGAAACAGACAGACAGAGAAAGAGGGAAAAAGACAGAGAGACAGACUGAGACUGAGGGGGACAGACAGAGAGAAACAGCUUAAGACUAGAACAGAGGAAAGGAGAGAAAGCUGGAGAAAGACAGACAGACUUUGAGAGAUACAGAGACAGAGGAAGAGAGACAGACAGAGACAGAGACACAAAGAGAGACAGAGAGAGCUCUGUGGUAAUAAAAGAGUUGUGGUCCCUAUGCCAUGGUUUCCUCCUCCUCUGUCAAGUACAGAGUUGAGCAAGAUCCCCUCUGAAUUCCCUUCUAGCUCUAAAUCUAUAAUCCUGUGGACUUCCCUGAGCUUCAGGUUCCUCACAUAAAAACGGGGGUUGGAUUAGGACCUUGUCUCUGAUCCAAGUUCAGUUCAGUUCAAUAAGCACUGAUUAAUCCUUCAGUAGUUGGAAUCUCCCAUGUGCCAGGCACUGUGUAGGAGCCUGCAGAAACAGACAAAAAAAAAUAGUCCCUGCCUGCCCUCCCAGAGCUUAUGUUUGUCCUACUGAGGCAGAACAGUGUGUCUAGCGCUCACUAAACAGAAAGUUGAGAAGUAGCACAGAGCCACUCCAUGUGAAAAUGUCUUCAGAAUCUGCUGAGCCUCCAUCUGGGCCUUGGCACUCAACUCCAGAUAUUAAGAAAGUCAUUACGAUGUGAUUUACUAUGUGAUUUUUGUUGCUGUCCAGUUGUUUCACUUGUGUCCAAUUCUUCAUGACUUCAUUUGAGAUUUUCUUGACAAAGACACUGGGGUGGUUUGCCAUUUUCUUCUCCAGUUUAUUGUACAGAUGAGGAAACAGAGGCAAACAGAGUAAAGAGACUUGCCCAGGGUCACACUGCUAGAAAGUAUCCGAAGCUAAAUUUAAACACGGAAUUUUCUGACUCCAGUCCUGGCAUUCUAGGCACUAAGUGGCCACCUAACUGCCCCCAGGGAUAAAAAGGCAGUAAUAUCUCGGUUUUCAUUGACAUUGAUUAUUGUAGGUUUCAGUUUUUGUCGAUUUUUUCCAUGAAAAAUUUGUCUCCGUUUUGGUAGGUCGCCUGGGAUUUUGUGGGUGUGCCCACUUGACCUUGAUGCUAGUUUUGUGAAAACAAAGGGUGACCCACAAGUUCUCGGGCUCAGCAUGAGCAAUACAUGUACUGAAUCCAUUUAUCCAUAUAGAUAGCAAAAACAAAAAUCAGAUGAAGCAUAUGGAGAGCAAAAUGAAUGAGUUCUCUCAUUGGGAGUGAGAUAUCUCAUCUCAGUCAACUAGAAAUUCCCCCAGAGUAUCUCAGCUGAGAAGAGGGACAUAAUCAAGGUAACAACUCUACAUGUCAGCUUCUAUCCAAGGUCCUUAUGGAGGGAAUUCCAUACAAUUCCAAACAAUAACCUCUCUCCCUCCACACACCAAGAAGAGUCUUCAGAAAGAUUUCUUGGAUUGUUUUCAGAGGGAUUAUCAAUGAAAACCAAGGUAUCAUUGAACUAGCAAUGGAGAUAGAGCCUGCCUUCAAGGAGUUUGCAUUCUAAUAGAAGACAACACCUAAAGGGUAUUUGUAAGAAGGGAAUAAUAAAGUGGAGGAAUUCCAUGUGAACUGAAACGACCUCCAGGAAUUGAUGCAGAGCGAGAGGAGCAGAACCAGGAGAACAUUGUACACCGAGAUGGAUACACUGUGGCACAAUUGAAUGUAAUGCACUUCUCUACUAGCAUCAAUGCAAUGAUCCAGGACAAUUCUGAGGGACUUAUGAGAAAGAACACUAUCCACACCCAGAGAAAGAACUGUGGGAGUGGAAAUGCAGAUGAAAACAUAUGAAUGAUCAUGUAGUUUGAUAGGGAUAUGAAUAGGGUUUUGAUGUUAAAGAUCACCAUAUGGCAAAUAUGAAUAACAUGGAAAUGUACGACCCAGUGAAAUUGCUUGUCAGCUCUGGGAGGGGGGAGGGAAAAUCAAGAAUCAUGUAACCUUGGGAAAAUAUUCUAAAAUUUUUAAAAAGAAAAGAAAAACAUAUUACAGCCUAGUUUUAAUAUAAAAAUAUCAAAAAACAAGUUCCCAGAGCCCCAUGGAAGUAGCCCUGGUCUAGAACGACAAGUAGAAUUUUGUCCAGAGAACACAUAUUUAUUGGCUAACUUCUGGGUAGGAGACUUGGAUGAACUUUGCUUAGAAGGCAGCAUUUGACCUAAGUCCCCAAGGAAGUGAGGAAUUCUAAUAGGACCAGUGAGGCAAGGUUCAGAAGGGAUGGCAAUGGCAAGGAGUGGUAAUGGGCUGAUGUAUCUGAGAAAGGGGAAAUAAGUUGGUUUGGAAGGAGCCUUUUGUGUCUGAAUGGUAGUAAUGUACUAGGUGGCAAAUUGUGUGGAUACAGUGCCAGGCUGAAGUGAGAAGAUCUGAGUUCAAAUCAGUAACUGUGUGACCUUGGGAAAGUCACUUAACCCUGGUUGACCUUAGAUUCCUCUUAUGUCAAUGAGCUGGAGAGGGAAAUGGCAAACCACUCCAGGGUCUUUGCCAAAAAAACCACAAAUGGGAUCAUGAAGAGUCAGACAGAGUGAACAACAACACAAUGUGCAAUGAGCCAGGCAAGGCAGGAAGAGCCAGAAGAAGAUGGGCUUUAAAUGACAAAUUAGGGAAUUUGUGUUUUUGCUGAGAAAAAAAAAAGAGGGAGCCACUGAAGCUGCUUAAGGGAGAAAGUGACAUAGUCAGAUCUGCAUUUUAGGAAUAUGAAAUGAACAGUUGUGAGGAAUAUGGGUAAAAAGGAGAGGGGAGAAGACACCAAAAUAAUCAGAACUGUCCUUUGUGUCCACAAGCCACCUGGGCACCAGUCUAACCCUUCUGACAGAGAAGCCCCAAAUUCCUCCUCUAGGAACAAACCUGUGAGUAUUCAAAGUCCACAUCUGAUGAUCAUCACCUAUGUGACUGGUCAAGCAGUUUAAUGCUCCUGGACUUCAGUUUUCUCAUCUGUUAAAUGGGGAAAUUGACCUCUAAGGUCCAUUUUUAUGAUGGGUUGACUUCCUUGUGCCUCAGUUUCCUCUAUUUAAAAAAGGACUAGAUAUCUUUAGAGAUCUUUGCCAAAUGACCUAUGAUCCUAUGGUCUUCCUGGUCCUCAGUUUCCUCCACUGUUACUUGGGAGGGUUGUUCUAGAUGGCCUCUGAGGUCCAUUUUUAUGAUGGGUUGACUUCCUUGUGCCUCAGUUUCCUCUAUUUUAAAAAAGGACUAGAUAUCUUUAGAGGUCUUUGCCAAAUGACCUAUGAUCCUAUGGUCUUCCUGGUCCUCAGUUUCCUCCAUUGUUACUUGAGAGGGUUGUGCUGGAUGGCCUCUGAGUUCCCUUUCUGGCUUUAGAUCUAGGAAUCUCUGGUCCUGUGCCUGCCAUUGAGAGGCUGGGGCAAACCCUAGGGGGAAAGCUCGGUCUCUUUCCCUUGUGUCCCGAUACUUGAGCCAAAAGAUUCCUUUUCGAAGAGCCCAAAGUAAGCUCUGGGUCUGGCAGGGAGGACUCCCCAAGGCCCCAAGUGAACUUGUUCACCCUUGCAUCCCAAGCUGGCCCCCACCCCCCCUUCCCUAGCUCCGGUUUGAACUGCUUCUCCCCGAGAUGCUGCCUCUCUCAUCGCAUCGUCAUCCGGGGCCCCUCCAAGUGCCAAGUGGUGAUUGAGAUAGAAAAACUCUCCAUCCCUCUUCCCACUGGGGUAGGGCCGGGAGCCUGAUGCAUUCAGUCCCUCCCAACUGCAUCUAGUGGAAAAGAAAACAGGUACCAGCUGGUGGGAGCCUCCACCCAGCAACUCGGGGCCUGGACAGCCACCCGUUCACAAAUCUUUUCCUCUGAACAAUAUGUUCUUGGCGCCUGGUGGGGGCUUGUUCUACUAGGUCCCAUUAAAAAAAAUCACCCAAGCACAUCCAGCAUCCACCCCUUCCUUCUCUUUCUUCAACCAAUAAGACUCUGCCAUGGAACCACUUCUGGCUUUUUUGCUUCAAAUCCCUUGUUUGCUUGAAAACACAAAACCCUUUGGGGGAAAGAAAGAAAAGAAAGAUGAAGGGGGGCCAUGGAGGGGCCAAGUGACCCCCGAAAUGCUGAGGGGUGCUGGAAAGAAGGGCUCUUCCUUGGGGAAAGGUAUUUUGGAAGAAGGGUCCCUUUAUGGCCGAGGGCUUCCUGGAGGCGUGGAAUCCACUAGAGGGAGUCGUGCCAUGCCAAGAGAUCCCUCAGAUGCCAGCAAGCAGUCAGCUCACAUCCCUGGCACUUUUCAGGCACUUUUCAACACCUGGUUUUUGAGAGUUUUGAAAAGUCAACAACUGUAAUCUACUUCU